AGGUACCUCAGUGGUCAUCAUAUUGUCUGUUAGUCUGGUAGUGUUACUGCUGGUGAUCAGCCUGAUCAUAGUCUACAGAUGGAAAUACAACAAGGUCACAGGAUCUGUCUCUUCAACUCAUAGAGUGAGUCCAGACACAGGGAACAGCAAUGGGGAUUGUCAUGGUGAUGGUGACUAUGAGGAGAUAAAGGAGCGCCCCUACAGUCAGACUCCACCAUCUACGCCACCGCCAACUUACCCACAAGCCACUCUGACUCUCCCCACUACGCCAGCGUCAACUUCCACAAGAACCCCAGCUGCCCCAAUGAAGCCAGAGUCACCAUCGCUAAAGAGGGCACUUCAUCAUGUGACUAUGCUACUGUGAACUUUGGUCAAAGCCCCACCUACUCUACUGUCAAUCAUCCACACAGCUCCUCUGAGGCUCCUCCCAUCUACUCCACUGUCAGCAAACCCAGAGACACUUGACUCACUGGCAACCAAUCACAAGAGACAUACAUACACUGGCAACCAAUCACAAGAGACACACACACACACACUUAAAAACCCAGGCCUUUUCUCAGUUAGAUUUGCUCUACUUCUGCGUCCUCUCUCCUCCAUCUUCUCUCCUCCGUCCUCUCUCCUCCAUCCUCUCUCCUUUCUCCUCCUUCCUCUCUCCUCCGUCCUUUUUAAAAAUGGCAAAGGAGAGGACAGGCCGCAGGGAGAGUAAACUUGGACGAAAAUGCACUUGUAUAAAAUUAAAAGCUCCUUUUCUACUCGCCCGUCAGGCAAAUUACAUUUCAAAUGACCUUUACCUGAUGGGUGGAUCCAAAAUAAAUGUGUAAAGUGAUAAAAACGUAUUAAGCUAGCUGAGAAAAUAAAUGUGGUCAUGUUUGCUCCUCUGACAAUACAACAGCUGAUUCAAAGGGGGGUGUCAGAUAUCAAAACUUUUAUGUACCAGGAUACUCUUGUCUUUAUUCACCAAAAUGAGGAAGGGAGGACCGUCUUCUCUUCAACCUACUAACACACUGACACCUUCCUCUGCCACUUAUCAGUUUCGGAUGAAAGAGGAAAGAGGGCGGUGGUGAGAGGACGGAGGAGAGAGAACAGAGGAUAGAGGAGAGAGAAUGGAGGAAGGAGUACAGAGGAAAGAUGAGAGAGGACGGUGAAGUGAGAACGUAGGAGAGAGGACAGAGGAGAGAGAACAGAGGAUAGAGGAGAGAGGAUGGAGGAGAGAGGAAAAACGAGAGAGACCGGAGGAGAGAGGAAAGAAGUGAAAGGACAGAGGAGGGAGAACGGAGGAGAGAGGAAAGAUGAGAGAAGACGGUGAAGUGAGAAAAUAGGAGAGAGGAUGGAGGAGAGAAGAUGGAGGAAAGAGGACAGAGGAGAGAGAACAGAGGAGAGAGAACAGAGGAGAGAGGAUAGAGGAGAGAGGAUAUAGGAGAUAGGAUGGAGGAGAGAGGAAAGAAGAGAGAGGACGGAGGAGAGAGGACGGAAGACUGACUUUUGCCCAAACGAGAAAAGGCCCCAGAGACACCUGAGUCACUGGCACACUGGCGACCACUUGAUUUGUAAUUUAGGAGGCCGGCGGUGAAUGCUAAAGGCCCUGCUCAAAACCGACAGCGAGUCUCUCUAUAGGGGUGGUGUCUGAUAAUAAAAUACAACAACACCUGAUCAUUGAUGAAGAAACAUUUGUAAAACCAUCACAUCAGAGACACAUGGAACAGUGUCAUGGAGCUGUCUGAGAAACAAUUCUUCCUUUUCUGAUCUGUCUGAUCAGAUUUCCUCAUCUGUUGUGUUUUAGUUAGUGACGACAUUCACCGUCAGUACUCAAUAACCACGGCAACAAGCCCCCGCAUCCAAUAGAUUAUUAUUAUUGUUGUUGUUACUAUUAUUAUGAUAAUUAUUAUAAUUAUUAUUACUAUUGUUAUUAAUAUUUUUAUUUGGAUGAUGAUGAUGGUGAUUAUGAUUAUGAUGGCGCUGAUGAUGGUGAUGAUGGUGAUGAUGAUGGUGAUGGUGAUAAUGAUUAUGAUGAUGAUGAUGGUGGUGAUGAUGGUGAUGAUGAUGAUGGUGACGAUGGUGAUAAUG